GUCUUUGUAGAUCGUGGGAUCAUCUUCUUCAUAUCAUGUUUGAACAAAAUAUAUGAAGAUAGCGUGGGUUCGAUUCCCACCAAAGGCA